CCCCUGGACUCAAAAAGCCUUCGAGAAAACAAAAGUAGAACCGAUGGACGGUAGAGCACCGCGGCUGAGGGCGAGCUCACCAGCACUGCGAGGCAGAACCACUGUCCAGGGACCACACGGUGCUGAGAUCCGUGGCUUGCUGGGCUGAAGGAGAAGCACCCACUAAUUGGUUCAGACCACAAAGGUCAACCCCACGAGCAUCCGAUUCCAUCUCUCAGAUACUAAUUUGGAAAACAAAAGUGGCCAGAUGGACUUCCCAUCCCCAUCUCAUGAGAGGAAGCAGGUCUUUCUUGGGCACCUACUCUCUGACCAUAAAUGACCCAGUUCCCUUGAGAGCUGAUUCUGACUAUGUGGAGAAUCUGAGGGACAACUUUCAAGCUGGCCGGGCAGCACAGUGUGUGUGUGUCAGGAGACCCGUCCUGGAUUUCGCCACCGGCUCUGGGCUUUCACUUCAACUGAAUUGGGCUGUAGGAUGGUAACCUAUAAAAUGAACGACUUGAAUUAGACUAUCGCCUUGGUCCUUUUAGCUCCGUGAUGCCAUUCCUGUAAUUCCGUUUCAGAGCCCGGCCUGAUGGAGGUAUGUGGUUGAUCAGACAGCCUUAGCAAGGCCCACAGGCUAGGGAGUGACUCAGCUGUGCCACUGGGUGAGGUCUGACACCCUAUCAGUCUUCCUGUCCCUUGUUGUACCCAUAUCUACCCAAUGCGUUGGCCUACACAGUGGGAUGGCGCUCCUUCCCGAGUGUCCCUCCAAGACCAUACCCUCUUCUGCUUUCAUCAAAUCUGACUGUCCUUUGUCACUUCCCCCCUGAAUUCCUCAACCUGCUACAUUCCUUCACGCCAACCUAUCCAGUGGCUUCAUUAGCUACAUU
rnacentral:lncRNA from 1 species